CACUCCGGCCCGGAGGGCGGGGCUUCCUGUCGGAAGCGCCCCGGCCGGCUCCGGGAACUCGGACUUGUCCUCUGUCCUGCGUCGGGGCGGCGGCGUGGAACGAAGGCCUUCUGCUCUCAGAAACGAGAAGAUGGAACGGCCAUUGGGACGCUAAGGAGGGCAGCGGUUGCACUGAGACCUGCGCUACGUGAACCUCAGCGGAACUCUGCGCAGCCGCCGCCGCUGCAGAAGCCCGAGGCGCGGGUCUGCAGGGCAGUGCGUGUCCCCAUGUGACCCGCGCGCCGAGGGGACCUAAGGGCAAGUCUGAGAGCCGCCGCCUCCGCAGAGCGCGAGAGCCUCCAGGGUCUCAGCGACGCAGGCACCUCGGCUCUGCAUCCGUACCGGGCGCGAACACAGGAAGAAGCGCCGCUCACGUCGCCGGCCUGAGGGGCGGCCAGGCCCGAGCUGGCGGAGCUGCAGCCUGCGUCUUUCCCUUCGCAUUCGCUUUGCUGCUCUGGUUCCGGAAAACAGAAACUCCUAACCCAGGAGGAAAGGAAGCACCAAGGGAGUAUCCGAUGGGGGUGGAGGGAACCAGACAUUUAAUCCCAAUACACGGAAGCAGGAGGAUCUCUGGAGUUCGAGGCCAGCCUGGUCUACAUGGAACUCACUGCAGCCCAGUGGCCUGCAUCUUACUAUGCAAUUCUGGCUGGUCUGGAACCCAAAGAGCCAACUGCAUCUACCUCCCAAAAGCUGGGAUUAAAAUGACCACCAUGCCCUGCAAACCUGCAGUCUUAAUCGUUUAUUCAGUGGUAUAGUGUGGCUUUGUCAGAACAAAUUGUAUAGAUGAACAGGCAGUUGGUUUUGCAUAGAUCAAGUUAGAAACAAUAUAUUUUCCAUCUUUGUGCAGCUUUAUUUUAACCUCUA